rnacentral:rRNA from 1 species
AGAGUUUGAUCAUGGCUCAGGAUGAACGCUAGCGGCAGGCUUAAUACAUGCAAGUCGAGGGGCAGCAGGUCCCGCAGCAAUGUGGGAUGCUGGCGACCGGCAAACGGGUGCGGAACACGUACACAACCUUCCUUUAAGUGGGGGAUAGCCCGGGGAAACCCGGAUUAAUACCCCGUAAUAUAAUGAAGUGGCAUCACUUUAUUACUAUAGCAGCAAUGCGCUUUGAGAUGGGUGUGCGACUGAUUAGGCAGUUGGCGGGGUAACGGCCCACCAAACCUACGAUCAGUAACUGGUGUGAGAGCACGACCAGUCACACGGGCACUGAGACACGGGCCCGACUCCUACGGGAGGCAGCAGUAAGGAAUAUUGGUCAAUGGACGCAAGUCUGAACCAGCCAUGCCGCGUGGAGGAUGAAGGUCCUCUGGAUUGUAAACUUCUUUUAUCUGGGAAGAAAUCCACGAAUUCUUUUGUGGUUGACGGUACCAGAUGAAUAAGCACCGGCUAACUCCGUGCCAGCAGCCGCGGUAAUACGGAGGGUGCAAGCGUUAUCCGGAUUCACUGGGUUUAAAGGGUGCGUAGGUGGGUUGGUAAGUCAGUGGUGAAAUCUCCAGGCUUAACUUGGAAACUGCCAUUGAUACUAUCAAUCUUGAAUACCGUGGAGGUCAGCGGAAUAUGUCAUGUAGCGGUGAAAUGCUUAGAUAUGACAUAGAACACCAAUUGCGAAGGCAGCUGGCUACACGAAUAUUGACACUGAUGCACGAAAGCGUGGGGAUCAAACAGGAUUAGAUACCCUAGUAGUCC